UACGGAGGGAGCUAGCGUUGUUCGGAAUCAUUGGGCGUAAAGCGCGCGUAGGCGGCCCUGUAAGUCCGUUGUGAAAGUCAAAGGCUCAACCUUUGAAAGCCGAUGGAUACUGCAGGGCUAGAGUCCGGAAGAGGCGAGUGGAAUUCCUGGUGUAGCGGUGGAAUGCGCAGAUAUCAGGAGGAACACCAAUAGCGAAGGCAGCUCGCUGGGACGGUAGCUGACGCUAAGGCGCGAAAGCGUGGGGAGCGAACAGG
rnacentral:rRNA from 1 species